rnacentral:lncRNA from 1 species
AUGUGCAUUCAGAUUAAAAAAAAAUUUGUAACAUUAAUUUCAAAAUAAUGUAAACCAAUAGUUGUUCUUUAUAAAGUUUGUUAGCAAAAAAACAUAUGUACAAGCAUUAUAACUAUCGAAAAAUAUAUAUACUAAGAUACUGGAACCUCCUCCGCAUCUGCCUUUCGUAGACGUGUGUCACCUCUGGCCACUGUCGUGAUGGCUCAAGCAUGAUAUCAAUCGGUGGGGAGGAAAGUGCAGGCGUGCUCAGCCUAUCAACAUGUAUUCUACGUCUACCUCGGGGGACCCUCAGUCUAUCCUUGCCUCUAGUCCUCGCAUGCAUAUGAUCGACGUGCUGCUCAUCGAGUCCAUAUGACGUCUUCCGACUCACUCAUCCUCUGAGAUAUAGACGUAUUAUCUACAAAAAGAUCGAAGUCCGAGCAGCCAGUAUAGGAAGUGUGCUGGGCAUAUAAUGAGAUAUUCGGAUCAUCUGUCAAUGACGCAGUGUGAAAUCGUCUAUCCUCAAAGAUGACUCGCAUAGUGUCUAUCCUCAGGUACGAUAUGCUCCCAUACACUCACAUACUCUAUAUAUUCCAUAAAAAUCAAUCACAUGAAAAUACUCCACGAUCCUCUCAUAUGGCCACCAGUCGUGCAUCAUGGUAGACUCUCUAUGUCUCCAACAUAGAGGCCCUACAUCCUCUCCAGAGUAUAUAUGAUUACUACAGUGUCGAAUCUAGAGAUAUAGUACGAUAGUAUCUAUCGACCCCUGUUGCUC